UGGCAUACGGUGUGGACCACUCACGCAUUUCUAAGGCAAUUUCACCAAUGUUGCACAUUAUGGUUUCAGUUCAUGCACGUGGUUUCCGCAGAUAUAUUAUAAAUUGACAUAAAUAUUAUGUAUCUGAAUAUUAUUAUUUGCAAGCUGCAACGCCGCGACCUGCAGGUCCACGGCCCCAGUAGGAGGGACCGAUCGCCGUAGCCGCACUUCCUUAUUUAACUGCGGGAUUGACAAGUACUGACAUCAGCGGAAGAGAGCACCCUUUAGUCUCCGCCGGCUACCUUUCCCGGCCCUCCUGUUAACUUUUACGGCGCAGGCCAGCGGACCACCGCCGUCCCUUCGGAAAGCGCGAGGACCGGCGCGCGGCUGCCCCGGGGGCGAACGUGAGCGCGACACCCCGCGACACGGACGUGGAGCGGCACGAAGUGUCCUUAGAAGGUCCCUACCUCCUCCACCGCGAAACCAUGAAGUGACGAAAAGCGUCGGCAGCCCCGGGAUAUCUCUGCACACGGUCUAAGA